GACAGAGGGUGCAAACGUUGCUCGGAAUUACUGGGCGUAAAGCGCGUGUAGGCGGCUUUGCAAGUCGGGUGUGAAAGCCCUCAGCUCAACUGAGGAAGUGCGCCCGAAACUGCAGAGCUUGAGUACCGGAGAGGAUGGCGGAAUUCCCCAAGUAGAGGUGAAAUUCGUAGAUAUGGGGAGGAACACCGGUGGCGAAGGCGGCCAUCUGGACGGAUACUGACGCUGAGACGCGAAAGCGUGGGGAGCAAACAGG
rnacentral:rRNA from 1 species